AAGAGUUGCAUAAACUCCCUACAAACCAUUGCGAACGUACCACACAAGUUGCUUCGGCGCGCCGCUCCGGGUCACACGGGCGCCGCCGGAGGACGUACAAACUCUUUAUUAUUAACAGUUACAUCUGAGUACUAUAUUCAAUAAGUAA
rnacentral:misc_RNA from 1 species